UACGAGGGGGGCGAGCGUUGUUCGGAAUUAUUGGGCGUAAAGGGCUCGUAGGCGGUUUGUCACGUCGGGUGUGAAAACUCGGGGCUUAACCCCGAGCCUGCUUCCGAUACGGGCAGACUAGAGGUAUGCAGGGGAGAACGGAAUUCCUGGUGUAGCGGUGAAAUGCGCAGAUAUCAGGAGGAACACCGGUGGCGAAGGCGGUUCUCUGGGCAUCGCCUGACGCUGAGGAGCGAAAGUGUGGGGAGCGAACAGG
rnacentral:rRNA from 1 species